UAGGGAAUCUUCGGCAAUGGGGGGAACCCUGACUGAGCAACGCCGCGUGAGUGAAGAAGGUUUUCGGAUCGUUAAGUUCCGUUGUUAAGGAAGAACGAGUGUGAGAAUGGAAAGUUCAUACUGUGACGGUACUUAACCAGAAAGGGACGGCUAACUACGUGCCAGCAGCCGCGGUAAUAUGUAGGUCCCGAGCGUUGUCCUGAUUUAUUGGGCGUAAAGCGAGCGGAGGCGGUUAGAUAAGUCUGAAGUUAAAGGCAGUGGCUCAACCAUUGUAUGCUUUGGAGACUGUUUAACUUGAGGGCAGAAGGCGAGAGUGGAGUUCCAUGUGUAGCGUUGAUGUACGUAGAUAUAAGUAGGAACACCGGUUGCUAUGGCGGCUCUCUGGUCUGUAACAGACGCUGAGGCUCGAAAGCGUGGGGAGCGAACAGG
rnacentral:rRNA from 1 species